CUCGUAGGCGGCUCUGUAAGUCGGGAGUGAAAGACCACGGCUCAACCGUGGAAACGCUUUCGAAACUGCGGAGCUUGAGGCCGGGAGAGGAGAUCGGAAUUCCUGGUGUAGCGGUGAAAUGCGUAGAUAUCAGGAGGAACACCCGUGGCGAAGGCGGAUCUCUGGACCGGUUCUGACGCUGAGGAGCGAAAGCUAGGGGAAGCAAACA
rnacentral:rRNA from 1 species